GAUGAACGCUGGCGGCGUGCCUAAUACAUGCAAGUCGAGCGGUAAGGCUACUUCGGUAGUACACGAGCGGCGGACGGCUGAGUAACACGUAGGAACGUACCCCAAACUGAGGGAUAAGCACCAGAAAUGGUGUCUAAUACCGCAUGUGCUCUUCGGAGUAAAGCUACGGCGGUUUGGGAACGGCCUGCGUAAGAUUAGCUAGUUGGUGAGGUAAUAGCUCACCAAGGCGACGAUCUUUAGCUGGUCUGAGAGGAUGAUCAGCCAGACUGGGACUGAGAACGGCCCAGACUCCUACGGGAGGCAGCAGUAGGGAAUUUUCCACAAUGGGGGCAACCCUGAUGGAGCAACGCCGCGUGCAGGAUGAAGGCCUUCGGGUUGUAAACUGCUUUUCUCUGUGACGAAUAUGACGGUAGCAGAGGAAUAAGGACCUGCUAACUACGUGCCAGCAGCCGCCGCGG
rnacentral:rRNA from 1 species